rnacentral:rRNA from 1 species
UGAACGCUGGCGGCGUGCCUAAUACAUGCAAGUCGAGCGAACAGACGAGGAGCUUGCUCCUUUGACGUUAGCGGCGGACGGGUGAGUAACACGUGGAUAACCUACCUAUAAGACUGGGAUAACUUCGGGAAACCGGAGCUAAUACCGGAUAACAUGUUGAACCGCAUGGUUCAACAGUGAAAGACGGUCUUGCUGUCACUUAUAGAUGGAUCCGCGCCGCAUUAGCUAGUCGGUAAGGUAACGGCUUACCAAGGCAACGAUGCGUAGCCGACCUGAGAGGGUGAUCGGCCACACUGGAACUGAGACACGGUCCAGACUCCUACGGGAGGCAGCAGUAGGGAAUCUUCCGCAAUGGGCGAAAGCCUGACGGAGCAACGCCGCGUGAGUGAAGGAGGUCUUCGGAUCGUAAAACUCUGUUAUUAGGGAAGAACAAAUGUGUAAGUAACUAUGCACGUCUUGACGGUACCUAAUCAGAAAGCCACGGCUAACUACGUG